UGGACACAGCGAACUCUCACAUGACCAGAUUAUGGAAGAGACUGCAAUCUUGCAACAUGAGCAUCACGUUCAUCAUCUGAAUCAUCCUCACGAGGGACACAAUGAUCACCAUAAUAAUGAAAUGCUUCAGCACCUGAGCACACACCAUGGGCACCAGCGUGGUGGCCAGCCAGGUCAUGAGGACCCCAGCCAGGAUGAUGGUAGCAACGACGAUGACCAAGACAGCAGCCAGGAAGCAGCGGUA